CAGUAGCCGCGGUAAAACGUAGGUCCCGAGCGUUGUCCGGAUUUAUUGGGCGUAAAGCGAGCGCAGGCGGUUAGAUAAGUCUGAAGUUAAAGGCUGUGGCUUAACCAUAGUACGCUUUGGAAACUGUUUAACUUGAGUGCAAGAGGGGAGAGUGGAAUUCCAUGUGUAGCGGUGAAAUGCGUAGAUAUAUGGAGGAACACCGGUGGCGGAAGCGGCUCUCUGGCUUGUAACUGACGCUGAGGCUCGAAAGCGUGGGGCGCAAACAGGAUUAGAUACCCCUGUAGUCCCUGUCUCUUAUACA
rnacentral:rRNA from 1 species